rnacentral:rRNA from 1 species
CACGUAGGGGACGAGCGUUGUCCGGAUUCAUUGGGCGUAAAGCGCGCGUAGGCGGCUCGGAAAGUCGGUCGUGAAAUGCCGGGGCUCAACCCCGGGACUGCGUCCGAUACUUCCGGGCUGGAGGUAGGUAGGGGAGAUCGGAAUUCCUGGUGUAGCGGUGAAAUGCGCAGAUAUCAGGAGGAACACCGGUGGCGAAGGCGGUUCUCUGGGCCUUACCUGACGCUGAGGAGCGAAAGCGUGGGGAGCAAACAGG